CCCUUAGACGUUCUGGGCCGCACGCGCGCUACACUGACCAGUGCAACAAGCAUCCGUCCUUGGCCGACAGGCUCGGGCAAUCUUUGAACGCUGGUCGUGAGGGGGAUAGACUUUUGCAAUUUUUGGUCUUCAACGAGGAAUUCCUAGUAAACGCAAGUCAUCAACUUGCAUUGAUUACGUCCCUGCCCUUUGUACACACCGCCCGUCGCACCUACCGAUUGAAUGGUCCGGUGAAGCCUCCGGAUUGGCGCGCACCUCGGUGCCGCCGAGAAGUUGGCUAAACCUUACCAUUUAGAGGAAGGUGAAGUCGUAACA
rnacentral:rRNA from 1 species